AUGAGCGCUGGCGGCGUGCCUAAUACAUGCAAGUCGAGCGAACGGACGAGAAGCUUGCUUCUCUGAUGUUAGCGGCGGACGGGUGAGUAACACGUGGAUAACCUACCUAUAAGACUGGGAUAACUUCGGGAAACCGGAGCUAAUACCGGAUGAUAUUUUGAACCGCAUGGUUCAAAAGUGAAAGACGGUCUUGCUGUCACUUAUAGAUGGAUCCGCGCUGCAUUAGCUAGUUGGUAAGGUAACGGCUUACCAAGGCAACGAUGCAUAGCCGACCUGAGAGGGUGAUCGGCCACACUGGAACUGAGACACGGUCCAGACUCCUACGGGAGGCAGCAGUAGGGAAUCUUCCGCAAUGGGCGAAAGCCUGACGGAGCAACGCCGCGUGAGUGAUGAAGGUCUUCGGAUCGUAAAACUCUGUUAUUAGGGAAGAACAUAUGUGUAAGUAACUGUGCACAUCUUGACGGUACCUAAUCAGAAAGCCACGGCUAACUACGUG
rnacentral:rRNA from 1 species